UUUUAUGAGAGUUUGAUCCUGGCUCAGGACGAACGCUGGCGGCGUGCCUAAUACAUGCAAGUCGAACGCUUCUUUUUCCACCGGAGCUUGCUCCAUCGGAAAAAGAGGAGUGGCGAACGGGUGAGUAACACGUGGGUAACCUGCCCAUCAGAAGGGGAUAACACUUGGAAACAGGUGCUAAUACCGUAUAACAAUCGAAACCGCAUGGUUU
rnacentral:rRNA from 1 species